rnacentral:rRNA from 1 species
ACGCUCGACACCUACGGGAGGCAGCAGUGGGGAAUAUUGCACAAUGGGGGAAACCCUGAUGCAGCGACGCCGCGUGAAGGAAGAAGUAUCUCGGUAUGUAAACUUCUAUCAGCAGGGAAGAAAUGACGGUACCUGACUAAGAAGCCCCGGCUAACUACGUGCCACAGCCGCGGUAAUCUGAGCGGGCUGGCAAGGC